UUUACGUUCAAUUUUUCUAAGUUCUUUCGAAUUAUUGAAACUUAAAUAAAUUUCGCGUCGAACUUCUUUAGUGAAAUAAUCUUUCGUAAAAUAAAAGCGUCGUCCCACGGCGCUUUUUAUUACGGGCUGGAUUUUUCUUCGCGGGAUCUGCGGAUUUCGUGCGUCGAGGCGAUCAGCUACAAGCGUCGCCAUCUUGUCGUUUGGAGGUUAAAGUUCGGUUUUUGGGCAAGCUGCCUGGCGGCGCCGCCAUCUUGUGCUAUGAGCAAUUAAAGGGUCGCAAGCUCGUGUGCCACGUUACGGCCCGCCCAUUGGGGUAGCUAAACAGAGGCGAGUGGCAAGUUCGUUAAAUUAACCGUAACGAAAUUAACGCAGUGGUCGUCAAUUGCCACCGUCGUUUAAAGUCACCAAAGAGGUGACAGCCGAGAGCCGGUAUUCGCUGUGCGCGCCAAUUACGUUCAGUGUUUGCCAGUCCAAGGGGAGGGUUCCCGUGGACUUUAUCGGUUGUGUAGACGGAAACAGUAGUACGUGAAGGCCGGUAUUGAUACCCCAGCGUCCCUUCCUGCGGAAAUAAUCCGGAUUAGCUCGAUUCGUCGUGCGUAGUGCUCUCUGGCCCCGAAAUCGGAAGUCUUCCGCCAGCCGCGCCACCCUCUGCACCUUUAAUUCGGCCAAUUUGCACACGAGCGACCCCCGCGUGUCACCACAUCGAACACGCCGGUUAUCGGAGCAAACCCAGACGCCAUCUUGCGGCCCAAGGCCGAACCGAACGAGUUCGUCGUCUACCAAGCAGCGGACCACUGGGAGGACUACUAAACGCGCCUGUUGCAGCGCGCUGAAGGAACACCACGAAGCGUCGCCCACCCCUGGUCGUGCGACAUCCACACUGCCAGCAGCGUGUUCAUCGGAGCGGCGCCGGCAUCGAAGCAACGUGUUCAUCGGCGGCG